AUGUCUCCUUCUAUCUGCGUCACCAUCUUGUUGCUUGCACUGGUCCCGCAGUCGCCGGCAUCAGCCAGCAUUAACAACAACAAUGGCGUCGCCGUCGCGGCCCCUAGCGUGCCCACGGCGACCCAGUUCCUGCAGGCGCACAACGACGCGCGCCGCGAUGUCGGCGUGGCACCCCUGGAGUGGAACUCGACGCUGGAGCAGGACGCCCAGCGGUACGCGGACCGGCUCGGCAUCGGCUGCAACGGUUACCAAGAUGGCGCCGCCGUCACCGCCUCGUGGGUGAACGGGCGGCGGUGGUACGACUACCGCGUUAACGCGUGCGCGCCCGGCCACGAAUGCGGGGCCUACAAGCUGGUGGUGUGCAGCACCGCGCAAGAGCUCGGCUGCGCCCGCCGUACCUGCCGGAGCAGCCCCGACACCGUGGCUGUUUGCAGCUACUUCCCUGCCUGCGACUACAACGACCGGCCAUACUGA
rnacentral:rRNA from 1 species